AUGUAAAUGAGUAAGAUCCCUCAGAGACGAUGAGGUAGAUAGGUUCGAGGUGGAAGCAUGGUGACAUGUGCAGCUGAUGAAUACUAAUCGAUCGAGGACUUAACUAAAUU
rnacentral:rRNA from 1 species